GGGGGGGGGGGGGGGGGGGGGGGGGGGGGGGGGGGGGGGGGGGGGGGGGGGGCGGGCGCGUGGGGGCAGCGGGGGACGGGGGGGGAAGGCCUAGGAAUCUGCCGGGUAGUGGGGGAUAACGUCCGGAAACGGGCGCUAAUACCGCAUACGUCCUGAGGGAGAAAGUGGGGGAUCUUCGGACCUCACGCUAUCAGAUGAGCCUAGGUCGGAUUAGCUAGUUGGUGGGGUAAAGGCCUACCAAGGCGACGAUCCGUAACUGGUCUGAGAGGAUGAUCAGUCACACUGGAACUGAGACACGGUCCAGACUCCUACGGGAGGCAGCAGUGGGGAAUAUUGGACAAUGGGCGAAAGCCUGAUCCAGCCAUGCCGCGUGUGUGAAGAAGGUCUUCGGAUUGUAAAGCACUUUAAGUUGGGAGGAAGGGCAGUAAGUUAAUACCUUGCUGUUUUGACGUUACCAACAGAAUAAGCACCGGCUAACUUCGUG
rnacentral:rRNA from 1 species